rnacentral:rRNA from 1 species
AACGAACGCUGGCGGCAUGCCUAACACAUGCAAGUCGAACGAGACCUUCGGGUCUAGUGGCGCACGGGUGCGUAACGCGUGGGAAUCUGCCCUUGGGUUCGGAAUAACAGUUAGAAAUGACUGCUAAUACCGGAUAAUGUCUUCGGACCAAAGAUUUAUCGCCCAGGGAUGAGCCCCGCGUAGGAUUAGCUAGUUGGUGAGGUAAAGGCUCACCAAGGCGACGAUCCUUAGCUGGUCUGAGAGGAUGAUCAGCCACACUGGGACUGAGACACGGCCCAGACUCCUACGGGAGGCAGCAGUGGGAAUAUUGGACAAUGGGCGAAAGCCUGAUCCAGCAAUGCCGCGUGAGUGAUGAAGGCCUUAGGUUGUAAAGCUCUUUACCCGGGUAUGAUAAUGACAGUACCGGGAGAAUAAGCCCCGGCUAACUCCGUGCCAGCAGCCGCGGUAA